rnacentral:lncRNA from 1 species
GCUGGGUGUAUUUUGGCUGGCUCCUUUGUGUAGGUGACAUCGGGGCGCCGCACGGGUUUGCUCGUCCAAGAGGCGAAGUCCGUGAUAAAGUGGUAUCAGAGCAGGCACGAUCGAAGAAACCUGUGCAACACAAAUGGGACGCAAGAACAGUGGUGAGACAAGUGGGAUGAUGCAAGAAGAGGAGGCAAUGGUUGCCGCCUCAGCCCC